GUCAAUGCGUAUCAAAGGAAAUAAGGAUUUAGUAAAACAAAUUUAUGAGUGGAAAGCAUAAUCAAUUGUAUACCAAUUUGAUAAUUGUUGUCCAAGGUAUGUUUUAGAUCAAGGAUUUUGUAGAACUGUUUUAUAAGUGAAAGGUAUAAUCAAUUGUGUACAACCUUAAUAACAGCCGUACUCAAGUUGGCUGAAGGAAAAAAUACUGUGAAUAAGCUGAUGUUACUGAGAAAAUAUCGAGAGUAAGCUGUUACUUCAAUUUAUAAGACUUAUAUGGAUAGUUGGCUGAAGAGGGGCUUAAGAGCCCGAAACGUGUAAUUUUUCACACGUAUCAACUA